rnacentral:rRNA from 1 species
GCUGCCUAAUACCUGCAAGUCGAGCGGACAGAUGGGAGCUUGCUCCCUGAUGUUAGCGGCGGACGGGUGAGUAACACGUGGGUAACCUGCCUGUAAGACUGGGAUAACUCCGGGAAACCGGGGCUAAUACCGGAUGCUUGUUUGAACCGCAUGGUUCAAACAUAAAAGGUGGCUUCGGCUACCACUUACAGAUGGACCCGCGGCGCAUUAGCUAGUUGGUGAGGUAAUGGCUCACCAAGGCAACGAUGCGUAGCCGACCUGAGAGGGUGAUCGGCCACACUGGGACUGAGACACGGCCCAGACUCCUACGGGAGGCAGCAGUAGGGAAUCUUCCGCAAUGGACGAAAGUCUGACGGAGCAACGCCGCGUGAGUGAUGAAGGUUUUCGGAUCGUAAAGCUCUGUUGUUAGGGAAGAACAAGUACCGUUCAAAUAGGGGGGUACCUUCACGGAACCUAA